CCCUUAGAUGUUCUGGGCCGCACGCGCGCUACACUGAAAGCGUCAACGAGUUUUUUACCUUGGCCGGGAGGCCUGGGCAAUCUUUUCAAACGCUUUCGUGCUGGGGAUUGAUGGUUGUAAUUUUCCAUCAUCAACGAGGAAUUCCUAGUAAGCGUGAGUCAUCAGCUCGCGUUGAUUACGUCCCUGCCCUUUGUACACACCGCCCGUCGCUCCUACCGAUUGGAUGGUCCGGUGAGAACUCCGGACUGCGACGAUGUAGCUGGUUCGCCAGCCACGACGACGCAGGAAGUUGUUCAAACCUUAUCAUCUAGAGGAAGGAGAAGUCGUANCA
rnacentral:rRNA from 1 species